rnacentral:tRNA from 1 species
CAAGGUAUAGCUUAAACAAAGCAUCUAGUUUACACCUAGAAGAUUUCACAAUAUGCGAAUACCUUGA